rnacentral:rRNA from 1 species
GAAGCUGCACUUCUGCUUAGUAGCAUGUCGCGGCUCGUUGGGAGGCCAGUCUAAGGCCCGCGGUGGAGACUUCACCCUUCUUCGGAAAGGUGUCGACCCGUGGUGUCCCGGCUGGCGCUCGACGGUGCUGUACGGGCGGGGCCUCUUGCCGUGUGCAUAAAAAGAUGCUAUAUAGCACGGUUGGUCCCGCCGGUCCGCGGCACUUCUGCUUUCGAUCCCUGUCCGUCCCGUCUUGAAACACGGACCAAGGAGUCUAGCAUGUGCGCGAGUCAUUGGGCUUACGAAACCUAAAGGCGAAAUGAAAGUGAAGGGACGAGUUCUCUCGUUCUGAGGGGUGAUGGCCGCGCUUUCAUGCCGACCCGCAACCCCGGGGCGUCACAUCCUCACUGAGGAGUGACGCACCUUGAGCGUACAUGUUGGUACCCGAAAGAUGGUGAACUAUGCCUGGCCAGGGUGAAGCCAGGGGAAACCCUGGUGGAGGCCCGCAGCAAUUCUGACGUGCAAAUCGAUUGUCAGAGCUGGGUAUAGGGGCGAAAGACUAAUCGAACCAUC